rnacentral:rRNA from 1 species
UACGAAGGGGGCUAGCGUUGCUCGGAAUUACUGGGCGUAAAGCGCACGUAGGCGGCUUUGUAAGUUAGAGGUGAAAGCCCAGGGCUCAACCCUGGAAUUGCCUUUAAGACUGCAUCGCUUGAACAUCGGAGAGGUAAGUGGAAUUCCGAGUGUAGAGGUGAAAUUCGUAGAUAUUCGGAAGAACACCAGUGGCGAAGGCGACUUACUGGACGAUUGUUGACGCUGAGGUGCGAAAGCGUGGGGAGCAAACAGG